rnacentral:tRNA from 1 species
CUGCCCGUAGCAUAACUGGAUAAUGCAUUAGAUUCCGAUUCUAACGACUGCGGGUUCAAUUCCUGUCGGGCAGA